AUGGAUUGGCUCCUAUUCUUCCUGCUCCCCGGAACCCUCGUGCUUCUGUGCUGGUCUUUCAGAGAGGAUCCUCCCAUAAUGAGAUUGACUUCUUGCACCUCCUGUGAUGAAUAUAUUGGCAAAAACUGCAGAAAGAAUUUAGGUUCCUGCCAACCCAGAUAUCCUGAUUUAGCAUGCCAGACCAAAGAAGUAUACUCUCAUCAUUACACCGGAGAUUAUAUCUACCAAUAUUCUGUGCUGGGUUGCCCAAGAAGAUGUGCAGAGUAUACACGCAUCACCCCGCGGGAGAAAAUCGUGUUCUUCUGCUGUAAUACAAGCCGCUGCAAUAGCUUACCAGUAAAGGAUGUGGUUCCAUUCAAUCCCAUAGCAACAGAGGUUUAGCCCGAGAUAUUCAGCUACUUUGUAGUGACCUCCUCUUGACAGCAUUCUGCCCACCAUUCUUUAACAAACAUCAAGACCCAGAAAUGCUUUCACACUUAGCCAACACCCACACUGCCUCCUGAGAGCCAAGAAGCCCGAAAGAAAUCAAACGCGGACAAAAAAGAAACGUAGUGUGACUUUGACAUGCUGUCUGGGCUCAACUUAGACAACCAGACCCUGGUCGUCUGGCUCUGCUGUUCUGGUUGGGGGUCAAACCCCAAGUCUAAGGUGGGAGGGAAUGGGGGAGGCUGCACUGGGACAUGGGGGCACUGAAUGUAUUACAAUAAAAACUCUAUAAAAAAAGGCUACA
rnacentral:lncRNA from 1 species